ensembl:lincRNA
UCCUUUCGGUUCCGGGCGAUGGACCGGAAGAGCCCAGUAGUUUAUUUAGCCGAAAUUGGUGGGAUGAGAUCUGUUGACAGACCUGACAGGAAUAAGGACCCUGGGACGCCAGCCUGGUAGGGAAAGGUUUGGGGUAGAGCCCAGAUUGGACGUGAAAGCAAGAGAGCCUCUACGCUAUCCUGAAGCAGUUUUUCAGAAAAAGGAGCUGGAUAGAUGGUUCGGCAUUUAAGUACACUGCUCAUCCAGAGAUCUGAGCUUGAUUCCCAGAAUCCACAUGGCAGUUCACAGCAGCCUGGAGAGUGGAGAAGUCUUCCAUGUUAACAAGCAGCUUUAAGUGGUCACACACAUUUACUCCGCUUCUUGCUUGAAACACCAGAAAUCUGAUAUAUACUGAUUGUUCCAACUGUAACCAGAUAACCCUCGCCAUUCUUGUGGUUCACUGGGACCUGCUAUAAAGACAGACAACAAUCCAGCAGCUAGAAACUUUGCUCACAGAAUUGUUUAAAGAUUCAUGUAAAAAUAAAAAGAUGUCCUCCCAGACUUAAAUUCAGGAGCCAUUUGGGUGCUGACAUCAGUUCAACAGUUGUGCAAAAUGAGUGACAGUUCCCGUCCCCCGCCCUAAGAGCUGCCAUUCUUCCCUCUGAAAAUUGCAGUAUCCGCACUCAGGCUCACGUGCUGUUUUUGGGAAUCUGACUGCUUCUAAAAUGUGACAAAAUGUCCACCACGUUGUUUGACUUUCCCAAGAACUGAGUGAUUAUGGUUUUAUAGUUCACACUGGAGCUGAAAGAAAAGUCUAUUAGAGACUCAAUGGACUUCUCCCUUCAAACACACAUGACUCCCUCCCUCCCACACAGAACACAGAAGAUGUUAACUGAAGAACAAGAUAAAUAAUAAGCAUCCAUUUUACUGAUUUGAAAGAUACUGCAAUUUUUAUACAUCAAUGAUUUUCUUCAACGUUUUGCAGCUGUGUGGCUUUGCAGUGCAGCAAUUCAUAGACCACACCGUACAGGAUCACCAGCAAGACUGGAAUGAUGUAAUAGAAGGCACCAUCAUGCUUAUUACAUUACCAGAGAACAGAAUACAGGAAGGACAGCUUUCAGUGGACACAGCUUAAAGGAGAGAGGGGAGGAGUGUGUUGAGCAGCCAUCCAUCCAUCCCUGUACUUAAGAGGGCAAAUAGAAAACUGACAAAACAGAGCUACUAAACCUGGUCUAGUAUUUAAGACCACAGCUUUUGAAGUUCUCAGUUUUCUUAUUUCGUUCAUAACUAAAUGACUUCCUUCUGGAAUAUUUGCAGUCUUGUUAAGGUUUGUGUGCACACGCUGGUCACAGCAAGCAGAUAGAAUGCCCUCAUCAUUUCACAAACUAUUCUCUACUGGAAAAGAAGAUCAAACUUUUUUUUCCCCUGUUGCCUCCUGGUGCAGAUUUCAAUGUUAAUGACUUCAGAGUACCCGAUAGUGCAUUCUAAUGAAUACGUACAAGCUUCUGUUUGUUUGUGUUGGGGGUGGGAGGGAGACAAGAAAAAAGGCAAGAUUCUCCAAUUGCACAAAUUGCACUAUUUGUGUUUCCAACAUUAAUAGCAGAAACAGUUAACACUUAAACAAAAUGUGCAGCAGAGGAUUUUUUUUUUUAACUCAAAUGACCUGAACUCAGUGGGCAUGUCCUUUUUUUUUUUUUUUUUUUUUUUUUUUAAGUUCAUUUUGUUGCAGACAGUUUAAGAUAUGGUCAUUUCUCAGUCCUUAAUUCUCCAAGUCUAGCUUUAUAAAUUAACAAUAUGAAUCCUGUUGUGAAAUUGGGGAAAUAAUGUCCACCUCAAUUUAACUGAUAACCAAAAGAUGCUUUUCACAUCAAAGAAAUGAUCAAAAAGGCUGUGUCACAUUCCAAAGCCAAAAAAACUUAACAAGAAUGCAAACACGAUGAGUUAGGUACCACUGCCAAAACUUUGCCAACAGUGGAACUUCAACGACGCUGUCCGGUGAAGCGACCUUCCAUUUGCCCGGUUCCUCUUCCAGAACCAAGUUUCUGUGUCAUGCCACCUCGUGGAGGUGGCCCUCUGCCAUCACGAUCACGCAUCAUUCCACCACCCACAAUUCCACGUGGACCACCAGGACCCCGAUCAUUGCGCCUGAUAUCUCUGCGGUCAUCACCACCACCUCUGGUUUCUCGCUCUCUGGCAGCUCUUGUUUUUUUCUCUUCCACAUUUAAACGUACUUCUCCUCGAAACAUAAUUGGCUUUAAAACAGAAAAAUGACAUGAGUGGGUUACACAAAAAUAGACAGAUAUUAAUUUAUAUACAUAAGAAAAUCUUUUAGGAAAUAAUGAAACUUUAACACAAGUCUAUAUUAAGAUUUGUGUUUCUAUUAAAGCUUCAGCCCUUUUCAGUUGAACAAACGAUCCAUACAGCAGACUGUGACACUAUAGCUUCUUACUCUUUGCAUAAAUACCAUUUCACAGUUAACUAUUUUUAGCUUUACCAUAAGAAGGAUUUUCUAUGGUUUUAAAUGUUUCAAUUCAUCCUAUAGACAACAAAAAGAAAAUUUUUAUGCCCCUUAAAUCACUUACUUUUGCAAUUAAGAUUCUCUGAACUGGUUCAGAGUCAUCAAAAACCACAAAACCAAAAUUUGGAAGUUUUCCCCCAACACCCUUGGUAUUGAUGCGAAGUUCCACAACGUUUCCAAAACCUGUGAAAAUAUACAUUACAACCAAGGGUUAAAUAUUUUAACAAAACAUCCUAGUGACUUUAAUUGUUCAGAAUGAGCAACUGUCAUGUUUCUGAUCCGUCUGAAAAUAAACACAGCAAAGCUGCUAUGCAGGAUGGUUGCUACAGGACAUCUGCUGCUCAGAGGGCCACCACCUCGGUACCCCUAACAACCUUAGCAGACGCUUGUCUCCACAGGAGAAAAAAAAAUUGUCAAGUUUUGGAAGACAUUUUCCCCACCCCAUUUUACCAGUAGAAUCCUCGGAGUUUUAAAUCUAAGACUGUUGAUUCCAACCUUCUUCCUCAUCUCCUGAACCUGAGCAAACAACACUCAACAGUCACUGACAAUUGUGAUAGCUUUAUCAUUUCUUCCCUUCUAACCAAUUAAAGUGAGACUGGAAGCAGGUAAGAUACAAUAUAGAGGUAAGUAAUUCAAAAUCCUG